rnacentral:rRNA from 1 species
AGCAACAAAUGCCCUGCUUCCAGGAAAAGCCUCUAAGCCUCAGGUAACAUCAAAUCGUACCCCAAACCGACACAGGUGGUCAGGUAGAGAAUACCAAGGCGCUUGAGAGAACUCGGGUGAAGGAACUAGGCAAAAUGGUGCCGUAACUUCGGGAGAAGGCACGCUGACACGUAGGUGAAGUGGUUUACCCAUGGAGCUGAAGUCAGUCGAAGAUACCAGCUGGCUGCAACUGUUUAUUAAAAACACAGCACUGUGCAAACACGAAAGUGGACGUAUACGGUGUGACGCCUGCCCGGUGCCGGAAGGUUAAUUGAUGGGGUCAGCGCAAGCGAAGCUCCUGAUCGAAGCCCCGGUAAACGGCGGCCGUAACUAUAACGGUCCUAAGGUAGCGAAAUUCCUUGUCGGGUAAGUUCCGACCUGCACGAAUGGCGUAAUGAUGGCCAGGCUGUCUCCACCCGGGACUCAGUGAAAUUGAACUCGCUGUGAAGAUGCAGUGUACCCGCGGCAAGACGGAAAGACCCCGUGAACCUUUACUAUAGCUUGACACUGAACACUGGUCCUUGAUGUGCAGGAUAGGUGGGAGGCUUUGAAGUGUGGACGCCAGUCUGCAUGGAGCCAUCCUUGAAAUACCACCCUUUAAUGGCUGGUGUUCUAACGUGGGCCCCUGACCGGGGUUGCGGACAGUGUCUGGUGGGUAGUUUGACUGGGGCGGUCUCCUCCUAAAGAGUAACGGAGGAGCACGAAGGUUGGCUAAUCCUGGUCGGACAUCAGGAGGUUAGUGCAAUGGCAUAAGCCAGCUUGACUGCGAGCGUGACGGCGCGAGCAGGUGCGAAAGCAGGUCAUAGUGAUCCGGUGGUUCUGAAUGGAAGGGCCAUCGCUCAACGGAUAAAAGGUACUCCGGGGAUAACAGGCUGAUACCGCCCAAGAGUUCAUAUCGACGGCGGUGUUUGGCACCUCGAUGUCGGCUCAUCACAUCCUGGGGCUGAAGUAGGUCCCAAGGGUAUGGCUGUUCGCCAUUUAAAGUGGUACGCGAGCUGGGUUUAGAACGUCGUGAGACAGUUCGGUCCCUAUCUGCCGUGGGCGCUGGAAGAUUGAGGGGGGCUGCUCCUAGUACGAGAGGACCGGAGUGGACGCAUCACUGGUGUUCGGGUUGUCAUGCCAAUGGCACUGCCCGGUAGCUACAUGCGGAAGAGAUAAGUGCUGAAAGCAUCUAAGCACGAAACUUGCCCCGAGAUGAAUCUUCCCUGAGCCUUUAAGGCUCCUGAAGGAACGUUGAAGACGACGACGUUGAUAGGCCGGGUGUGUAAGCGCAGCGAUGCGUUGAGCUAACCGGUACUAAUGAACCGUGAGGCUUAACCUU